UACGGAGGAUGCAAGCGUUAUCCGGAAUGAUUGGGCGUAAAGCGUCCGCAGGUGGCUAUGUAAGUCUGCUGUUAAAGAGUGAGGCUCAACCUCAUAAAAGCAGUGGAAACUACAUGGCUAGAGUGCGUUCGGGGCAGAGGGAAUUCCUGGUGUAGCGGUGAAAUGCGUAGAGAUCAGGAAGAACAUCGGUGGCGAAGGCGCUCUGCUAGGCCGUAACUGACACUGAGGGACGAAAGCUAGGGGAGCGAAUGGG
rnacentral:rRNA from 1 species